UAUUUUUUAGAAUAGGGUUAUAAACUUUUAGAUUUUUAUUCACAAAAGGGGGUUUUCCGACCACCACCAUCCCGGAAUCCGGCAAAGCUCCGACAACCACAAAACCCCAACUCCAUUUUAUUUUUCUUUUCAUUGUUUCAAAAGAUCCACCAACCAGUAGUUUAGAAACAGUUCAAAACCACACUGUUUUUCCGGCAAACCUUUCUCCAUUGUUUCCGGUGAGCUUUAGCUCUAGGGAAUAGCGAGCUCUGAGCUCGCACAACACUCAAAACCACCAGAGCUUCUAGAUGGCCAACACACAUCCAAAAAUCGACACAAACAACCCAAAAGACCUCCAGCCGCCUGAAACAAGCUCCCAAACAGCAGCUGGAACAAUGAGAACCACCUCUUUUCCAACUUUCAUCCGACCAGAACAGCAGCUAGAAACCCUUUUACUUUUCCUUUUCCUGGCGAAACCCAUUACCAACAGACCCACCACUGUUCUUCCUCGAACAAGACCUUUGAACCAACAACGACUUUCCCUUUCACGGUUUUCUUUCAUUUUCAGGUAUUUCGAUGCAAAGCUCCGGCGAAACUAUGAGCUCGUGAGCAACCAACCAGACUCGCCUCUUCUUCUCCAACCCAACCAGAAUCCAGUCGACAACAACAACUAUUAACAACCACCGGCGUGGCUCCAACUCCGCUCGAAGGUUAUUGCUCGUUCGGAGCGACAAGGGACAAGAGAACUCGCAAAAAAUGAGUCUUUGGAUUUCACAAGACAAUAAUAACCCAUCGAAAAGACAAAUAAGGGGAGUCUUUGACUACGAGGUCGCACUCGUCUAUUUUUUGUUAUGUAUUUUGCAUGUUGGUCCUGCUUUCACACAUUUCUAAUAUUUUUGCAGGAAAAUCAUCCCCGACUAUAGUCGGGGAUGGUGAUAAUAAUGUAUAGUUUUUGGGAAUCAUUAGGAGUAUACACAGUUUGAAGAGACAUCCAAAAAAGAAUACAACAAGUGGUUACCGUAGAAAUUUGGAAGCCACAUUCAACAGACAAUGCAAAGAUUGACAAUUAAGAGGAUGCAAAACAUAUUGGUACAAAAAGUCAAAAAACACUUCCUGACUAUUGAUUUCAGUGACACUAGACCUAAGGGGAA